rnacentral:misc_RNA from 1 species
GAUUCAAGUUCACUGCUACUUUUGCUCAUCAGUUUCUUCUCAUGUUCGUCUACGUUAUUACCAAAGACCAUGCCCAAUUCGUCUUGAUGUUUCUCUAAUUUUCCUUUGACUCCAGUGACUACAUGCAAAAACCCUAUUGAAGGGUAUAAAUCUGCUAUAUUAAAACCUCCUGCCAAUGCCGUUGCUUCCCUGGUCAGUGCUAUGACUGCGUCGUAGUCUUUGCAUUCGUCUCCAAUUGCGGCUUUGCACGUAAUCACACUAGUCAGCUGGAAUAUUUUUUU